rnacentral:rRNA from 1 species
GACGAACGCUGGCGGCGUGCUUAACACAUGCAAGUCGAACGGUAAGGCCCUUCGGGGUACACGAGUGGCGAACGGGUGAGUAACACGUGGGUGAUCUGCCCUGCACUUUGGGAUAAGCCUGGGAAACUGGGUCUAAUACCGAAUAGGACCAUGGACUUCACGGUUUGUGGUGGAAAGCUUUUGCGGUGUGGGAUGGGCCCGCGGCCUAUCAGCUUGUUGGUGGGGUAAUGGCCUACCCAAGGCGACGACGGGUAGCCGGCCUGAGAGGGUGACCGGCCACACUGGGACUGAGAUACGGCCCAGACUCCUACGGGAGGCAGCAGUGGGGAAUAUUGCACAAUGGGCGCAAGCCUGAUGCAGCGACGCCGCGUGAGGGAUGACGGGCCUUCGGGUUGUAAACCUCUUUCAGCACAGACGAGACGCAAGUGACGGUAUGUGCAGAAGAAGGACCGGCCAACUACGUGCCAGCA